UGUUAAGGUAAGUUGAGGCCCUCCGUGA
rnacentral:sRNA from 1 species